AACGAACGCUGGCGGCAGGCCUAACACAUGCAAGUCGAGCGAGGACUUCGGUCCUAUCGGCGGACGGGUGAGUAACGCGUGGGAACGUGCCCUUUGCUUCGGAAUACCUCUGGGAAACGGGGAGUAAUACCGGAUGAGCCCUUUGGGGGAAAGAUUUAUUGGGGCAGGAUCGGCGCGCGUUGGAUUCGGUAUUUGGUAGGGUAAUGGCCUACCAGGCCGACGAUCCAUAGCUUGUUUGAGAGGAAGGUCAGCCACACUUAGACGGAGACGCGGCCGGGACUCCUCCGCGAGGGAGGAGAGGGGAAUGUUGCAAAACGGGGGGAACGCUGAUCUAGCCAUGCCGGGAAAGCGAUGAAGGCCUUAGAGAAGUAAUGCUCAUUCAGCUGGGAAGAUAAUGACGGUACCAGCAGAGGAAGCCCCGGCUAACUACGUG
rnacentral:rRNA from 1 species